UUGAAAGGGAAAACGAUUGAAGUCAGUCGUACCGACGAGAAAUCAACUCUUUGAGUGCGGGCUUGUGGGCAUGCGGGUGUCUCGUUGUUUGCAACGUCUGUGCUUUUUGGGUGUACUUUUUUCGUAUGGUAGGCCAACAUCAGUUUCGAUUAUCAUAAAAUGACCGGAGGAAUGUAGCUUCGAUUUCGAUUGAAGUGUUAUAGCCUUUGGUAGAUGUGGUGAUGGAGACUGAGGAUUGCAACGAAUACCCUUCGGGCUAUCCGUCUGACCUCUGAAAGUUGCUUAGGUGCCGAAAGCGUGCUUACGGUCAUUUAACGCGACGGUCAAAAGGUUAGAACGUGAUUACAUUCGUUAAGGAUGUUGACGUAAGUC
rnacentral:rRNA from 1 species